UAUUUCCAAAUUGAAUUCUAUUUCUUUAUGGAAACUAGUUAUGAUUUGUAAUUCCUUUUAGGAUUUGGAUUUCUACAUCCUAUAGGAUUUAGGACUUUGUCUAGCACUAUAAAUAGAGGAUGAGAUUCAAGGUUUUAUUCAUUCAACUAUUAACUAUCAUCUAUUGGAGUGUAGACUCAAGAGCAUGUCAGGCUAGUUCUUUUUAUUCACUUCUAAAGGGAGGUGAAUCCUUGUUACAAGUAAUUGAUUAAUUGAGUAUUAUUAUUUA
rnacentral:lncRNA from 1 species